UCCUGGCUCAGGACGAACGCUGGCGGCGUGCCUAAUACAUGCAAGUCGUACGCUUCUUUUUCCACCGGAGCUUGCUCCACCGGAAAAAGAGGAGUGGCGAACGGGUGAGUAACACGUGGGUAACCUGCCCAUCAGAAGGGGAUAACACUUGGAAACAGGUGCUAAUACCGUAUAACAAUCGAAACCGCAUGGUUUUGAUUUGAAAGGCGCUUUCGGGUGUCGCUGAUGGAUGGACCCGCGGUGCAUUAGCUAGUUGGUGAGGUAACGGCUCACCAAGGCCACGAUGCAUAGCCGACCUGAGAGGGUGAUCGGCCACAUUGGGACUGAGACACGGCCCAAACUCCUACGGGAGGCAGCAGUAGGGAAUCUUCGGCAAUGGACGAAAGUCUGACCGAGCAACGCCGCGUGAGUGAAGAAGGUUUUCGGAUCGUAAAACUCUGUUGUUAGAGAAGAAUAAGGAUGAGAGUAACUGUUCAUCCCUUGACGGUAUCUAACCAGAAAGCCACGGCUA
rnacentral:rRNA from 1 species